CUGCAAGGGAAAUAUCUCUUACUUGGGGAUCACUUCUUUUGGAGUGUUUGACAAGCCCUGGUCUCGUGAAAGGGGUGCUCAAUCAGUGGUUCAGACUAUGACUCAGCAGUUGCCAUACAUGUGGGGAUACGUUCACCUGCUAUGGUGCUUGGAGUACAGGCACGGAGGCUGGAGAAGGUUACAGCGGACCAUGGUGUCCAGGAUGGAAUCAGAAUUCUGCACUGACAAGAUGGAACCAGAAUCCUAUGUUGACAGGAUGGAACCAGAAUUCUACAUUGACAGGUUGAAAUCAGAUGUCUCCGGG